rnacentral:tRNA from 1 species
UGGUAGUUCAGUGGUAGAAUUCUCAUCUUUCAUGGGGGAGACCCAGGUUCGAUUCCUGGCCA